rnacentral:ncRNA from 1 species
AUGCGCAGACCCGAAACCGGGUGACCUAUCCAUGUCCAGGUUGAAGCUGCCGUAAAAGGCAAUGGAGGACCGAACCCACAUCCGUUGAAAAGGGUGGGGAUGAGGUGUGGAUAGGGGAGAAAUUCCAAUCGAACCCGGAGAUAGCUGGUUCUCCUCGAAAUAGCUUUAGGGCUAGCCUCGGCAGAGAUACGUGGAGGUAGAGCACUGAAUUUCCUAGGGGGCGUCAAAGCCUACCGAAGAAUAUCAAACUCCGAAUGCCAUGAUAUUGCUUGCCGGGAGUCAGACUAUACGAGAUAAGUUGGAUAGUCAAAAGGGAAAGAGCCCAGACCUCCAGCUAAGGUCCCAAAGUGCGUGUUAAGUGGAAAAGGAUGUGGGAUCUCUAAGACAACCAGGAUGUUGGCUCAGAAGCAGCCAUGCAUUCAAAGAGUGCGUAAUAGCUCACUGGUCGAGAGGUCCUGCGCCGAAAAUGUCCGGGGCUGAAACACGACACCGAAGCUGAGGAAUCGAAAGAUUGGUAGAGGAGCAUUGCAUAAGGGAAGAAGCAGUACCGGAAGGAGCUGUGGACUUUAUGGAAGAGAGAAUGCCGGAAUGAGUAGCGAGAAUGAGGUGGGAAUCCUCAUGGCCGAAUAUCCAAGGUUUCCAGGGUAAAGCUGAUCUGCCCUGGGUAAGUCGGGGCCUAAGGCGAGGUCGGAAGACGUAGCCGAUGGACAACAGGUUGAGAUUCCUGUACUGCAGUAUGACAGAACUGUGGGGACACGUGUGGAGAGCAUAGCCGCGGAAUGGAAAGCUGCGGGCAAGCGAGGUAGGAGAUAUGUAGGAAAAACCGCAUAUCAAUCCGAAGGCGUGAUGCGGAGCGAACUGAAGUAGCGAAGUAUGUGAGCCAUGCGUCGAGAAAAGCCGCUAUUGUUCAUACUGUACCCGUACCGUAAACCGACACAGGUGGAUGAGGAGAGAAUCCUAAGGCCGGCGGAAGAAGCAUUGUCAAGGAACUCGGCAAAAUGACCCCGUAACUUCGGGAGAAGGGGU